UUCAAAAGUUGAUAUCAUAUCAUAUAAACUUAACUACAACCCUUAGCCAUUCAUACAACCUUGGCUGACUGCUCAUAAUCAGCCAACAAACAAAGUCAAAUCAUUAAACUUUAACCAGCUAAGCCAUCCAAAAAGAAGAUAAGAUUAACCACAAAAUUAGAAGACAUACAUAGUCUCGUACUAUCUUAUUAUCCAGACAGGCUAAAAGAGACGACAACUGUCACCAAAAAGAAAAAAAUCAAAAAACAGGUAGGAUAUCGCUUACAGCCCGAAGAAAACGCCUCAUCCUUGAGCGAGAGGCUUUGAAUCGUUUACCAACGGAAAGGGUUUUAGUUCCUUCCUCCUUCCUUAGAGCCAGACUUGGUAGAUGCUUUUCUUCUACCAUGGUUACCCGUUGACUUUGACUUUGGUGGUGCAGCACUAGUAGUAGUACAAGGCUGGGAAGGACAGCCAUUAUGCCCGUUAACCAAAGCAGGGAACCCAACAGCAGGGAUUCUGCACCAAACACAAAUUCUUUCAUUAUUCGCAUGUUUUAAAGAGUAAAUUGAAAAAGGAAAAGGAAAAGGUACAUACCCAACAAGAGCACAGCAGACUCCUGCUUGGUCAUGGAAGCAUUACUACUACUACUACUAUGCAACGAAAAGCGUAGGGCUUGAUUCUCGGCCAUAUACCACUGAAGUAAAGAGCCCAAUCUCUUGCAUUCACCUUCAUAGUACCUGCUCUUCAACUCCAGAUCUUUGACAUGCAUCUUUUUCCUCUCUCGUGAUCUUAGAGCCGCAUCUCUGUUCCUCAGUUGCCUGCCACAAAAACACAAUGUUGUUAAGUAUGUAUGCAAUGUUCAACUUAAAAGCACUCGAGCCCAUAUGGUUGGAAGAAGAUGAAGCUCAGUAGUUAUGCCGAUUGCUUACGUUUUAGUGUUCGGCCCAAGUGACAAUUAAUAUAUGGAAUAUCAUCAUCAUCAUCAGCCUACUUUUGUUAUGCCACUUGUUUAUUUAUAAAUACGCCAUAGGUGAUUGGAACCAAGAUCAUAGUUUGUGCAUUGAUUCAGCUUCUCCUUUUUAUAUCGAAAUGAUAUUGAUGCAUCUAAAAAAAUAUUGUUUUCUCAAAUUUCCUAAAUCAAACACGGAAACUCAAAAUGGCAUUCAUCUAGAUAUCUGUGAUUAGACCACAUGAUAACACAGAACCAAUCCAAUUAAGGAGAUGAAAACCAUACAAUAAAGCAAAGAGCUAUACACGAAUUUCAACCAAAACAUGUCAGUCACAAAAAGAAAAAUACAAGUUUGUAAAAACGAAUUUCAGGGCAGAAACAAAAAGUAAAUAUAUAAAUGAAUUGUGAAUUAGUUAGGGCUAAAUAAACAUUAUUAAGAAAAAGAAAAGUUGAAAUUGGAAAAAUAAAAAAAUACCUUUUCCGCUUCUUAGCGAGUGGAUCAUCAUCGUCUUUUUCUUCUUCAAUCUUCUGAUCCUCUGCGGAAUCGGAACAAUCGACAACUUCACCGGAUUUCUCCUCCUGUAAAGGGGAAUCAAGCAAAAUAUCAUCAAGAAAGGCAUCGGUAGGAAGUUGAGCGUCGUCGUCAUCCUUGAAAAGCAACUGCUCGAUGUCAUCCACCGACAGCGGAGGAGACUGGUUGUUCACAUCAUCAUCUGGUGGAAUGAUUACAUCAUCAUCGGUUGGGAAAGUAAGAUCAAAAUCAAACAGAUUGUCCCAAUCUUCCAUACGAUGAAAUUGAU
rnacentral:lncRNA from 1 species